UAGGGAAUCUUCGGCAAUGGGGGCAACCCUGACCGAGCAACGCCGCGUGAGUGAAGAAGGUUUUCGGAUCGUAAAGCUCUGUUGUAAGAGAAGAACGUGUGUGAGAGUGGAAAGUUCACACAGUGACGGUAACUUACCAGAAAGGGACGGCUAACUACGUGCCAGCAGCCGCGGUAAUACGUAGGUCCCGAGCGUUGUCCGGAUUUAUUGGGCGUAAAGCGAGCGCAGGCGGUUUAAUAAGUCUGAAGUUAAAGGCAGUGGCUUAACCAUUGUUCGCUUUGGAAACUGUUAAACUUGAGUGCAGAAGGGGAGAGUGGAAUUCCAUGUGUAGCGGUGAAAUUCGUAGAUAUAUGGAGGAACACCGGUGGCGAAAGCGGCUCUCUGGUCUGUAAUUGACGCUGAGGCUCGAAAGCGUGGGGAGCAAACAGG
rnacentral:rRNA from 1 species